rnacentral:rRNA from 1 species
GAUGAACGCUGGCGGCGUGCUUAAUACAUGCAAGUCGAACGGAGACUGUAGCAAUACUGUCUUAGUGGCGAACGGGUGAGUAACGCGUUGGUGACCUGCCCCGAAGAGGGGGAUAACAGUCCGAAAGGAUUGCUAAUACCCCAUGUGGUCGUUUGGAUUAGAUGCCUUACGACUAAACGGAUUUAUUCGCUUCGGGAGGGGCCUGCGUCCCAUCAGCUAGUUGGUAGGGUAAUAGCCUACCAAGGCGAUGACGGGUAGGGGACCUGAGAGGGUGGCCCCCCACAAUGGAACUGAAACACGGUCCAUACACCUACGGGGUGGCAGCAGUAGGGAAUAUUGGUAAUCUGGGAAACCGGGAACCAGCAACGCCGCGUGCGCGAAGAAGGCCUUCGGGUCGUAAAGCACUUUUUGAGAGGAUGAGGAAGGACGGUACUCUCAGAAUAAGUCUCGGCUAACUACGUG